rnacentral:sRNA from 1 species
UAAAAGUAUCGUCAAUGUCCAGACAGCUAGGGUAUUUAUGCCCUAUGCUGACUGGACAUUGGACGAUCUGACCUGUAUGAGCAAGUAAGGCAUUUGCCUGGAUUGCGAAUAUGGGCAGCGAUGUGGAGAGUGCGCAGCACGAAAAAAUGGAUUUUUA